rnacentral:rRNA from 1 species
CGUGCCAGCAGCCGCGGUAAUACGAAGGGGGCUAGCGUUGCUCGGAAUUACUGGGCGUAAAGGGCGCGUAGGCGGACAGUUCAGUCGGGGGUGAAAGCCCGGGGCUCAACCUCGGAAUUGCCUUCGAUACUGGCUGUCUUGAGUAUGAGAGAGGUGUGUGGAACUCCGAGUGUAGAGGUGAAAUUCGUAGAUAUUCGGAAGAACACCAGUGGCGAAGGCGACACACUGGCUCAUUACUGACGCUGAGGCGCGAAAGCGUGGGGAGCAAACAGGAUUAGAUACCCUGGUAGUCCACGCCGUAAACGAUGA